UCGAAUGAUUGGCCGUCAAUCCUUAAAGCAUCUUUUCAGUAUUACCGAUUUUUAAGUGUGGGCCUGUUCUAGCCCAUUUCUAAAAGAGGUUUAUAUGUUGGGAACAUCACUAUUUCUAUAUAUUUUUCCUUUCAAAUGUCAUAUAAUAUGGCCUCAAAGUAGGGAAUCCACUAAACACAUUCCUAACAAGGUUUAAAAAUCUUUAUAUGCAAAAACAUAAAGAUUGGUAACAUUUAAUAUUAAAAUUUCAAGAGACCGCUUCUUCGUAUGCUGUUUAGGAUGUAAAAAAAAAUGAAGCUGCUUGACUUGGACAAGGAAAAUAUUGUUUACAAUAAAAAACGAGUUUAAACAGAUGAUGUAUGCAAUGAGUUAGAAUUACAGCAUAAAUAUAAUUAAUAAAAAUUUAAAAUUAAAAAAAAAUUAUGAAGAUUACAAUUGAAAAAUUUAUUAGACCGCCGCGACAAUUGACAAACUGUCUUACUAGACUUGGUCAUAAUUAUUGAUUGAACAAGACAUUGCUCAGUAAAGAAAUUUUGCAAAAUGGCAUUUAAUAACUCUGAAACCUACAGCAGCUUUCUGACAAAUAAUAUAUUCUCUCAUGAACAAUCACUUUACGUUCGGCAGAACGGAUAAGUAUCUGCGCAAGCUCUAAUAUUGCUUAUAAUACGCACCUAUACGCUCCUAUUUCUCAUACGUUGCUCCACAGCGAAGUCAUUAUAAUUUUUGAUUGUUUUUAUUAUACUGCACGGCUCCUAAUUUACAAAUUGCAGUUGAUUAGGAUCAAUUAAAGGCAAUUUACUAACUAAUGGAGGCUUCACUCCCAAAAUACAUAGUUGAAACAUAAAGUUAAAAUAAACUCAAGUUGAAAAGUCUAGAUAAGAUAAGUUUUAAAUCUAACCAUAAUCACAUCCAACCACAUCCAACUAAAACACACUGAAAUACUUGUAUAAUAAUACAAUGAAAUAAUAAGUCUGAUUCCUAAUAAUCAAGAAGUUCACACAGAGCGAAUUUUUCGCAUACAUUAUAACGACUGAGGGUAAACUUAAAUGAAAAGCACAAUCUUCAGUUUUACCAUUUACCGAUACAAAAACAGCGGUAAAUUUUUAUCCGGCUCUCCUUCUGCAGCCUAUGCUUGGCGAAAAGCCACCAACAAUGAACACGGAAAACCCCAUGGGAAACAUGGCAAAAUCCUCUUUUGAUUUCCUGAGCCUCAAGGAUACUAAAAGAAUUUGACGAAAAAGUCGACAAUCUAGGAUCACGUGCAAGGUUUCGGUAUCAGUGAUAACAAUCUAA